rnacentral:rRNA from 1 species
GUACCGCGGCUGCUGGCACGAAGUUAGCCGGUGCUUCCUUUGAAGGUACCUUCAAAUGUAAGGCCUAUUGGACCCUACACCAUUAUUCCCUUCUGACAGAGCUUUACAACCCGAAGGCCUUCCUCACUCACUCGGCAUUGCUGCGUCAGGGUUUCCCCCAUUGCGCAAUAUUCCCCACUGCUGCCUCCCGUAGGAGUCUGGACCGUGUCUCAGUUCCAGUGUGACUGAUCAUCCUCUCAGACCAGCUAAGCAUCGUAGUCAUGGUAGGCCAUUACCCCACCAUCAAACUAAUGCUACGCAGGCUCAUCAUUUGGUAAAUGCUUCCAAGGAGAGGCAUUCUUUCUACUGCUACUUUCAAAAUUGCAGUACGUAUGCGGUAUUAGCCAGAAUUUCUCCUGGUUAUCCCCCGCCAAAUGGUAGAUCACCUACGCGUUACUCACCCGUGCGCCACUCUACUCACACCCGAAGGUGCUUUCUCGUACGACUUGCAUGUGUUAGGCAUGCCGACAGCGUUCGUUCUGAGCCAUGAUCAAACUC